AGAGAGACAGACGUUCUGGGGGCUGAGCUGGGGGAUGAGGGGCAGCUGCAAGCCAAAGCACCUACAUCAGAUGUCUGAAGUAGACAGUGCAAAUAACCCUCCAAACGACUGGACUUAUUGGACCACAUAAGAGAGAGAGGAAAAAAGUGAGGCUGGCACAUGUUUAUCUUGCCUAUUUAGACAAUCAGUUCUCCUGUUCCGUGCACAGCACCUGACAUACAAGGGCAAAGAUCUCAACAGAGAUCCUAUUAAAUUGUUACUAAUGAUUCAACUGGUCACCAUGGAAAAUUAAUUAUUAAGGUUGUAGGUAUUUUAUCAGCAAGAACACAAUGUAUUACCUGUUUCUAGCAAUUCUAUGCCAGUACCUUAUUAAGGUGUAAUACUGACAUGUAUAUGACAGUUCUGAAAGGAAACACGAAACAUAUUUGAGGAAUACAAUCAGUGUUAAAUGGAUUAACAAUAGAUUUGGCUUUAAUACAAUAAAUCCAGAGAGACUCUGAAAGCACAGGAACUAGCUACAUUUUCUAAGCAGAUGUAUUUCCUACUAUUUAAUGUAUAUAAAACACAUGAAUUGAAUUUGUUAUUGGUAUUCUGUACCAUGAAGAGAGUAAGGAAAAAAAUCCAUACUACCAUUCAUAAGCGUAAUGUUAAAUAAAAGAAAAUAGUGUCUCGUACUUGUCGGACAAGUAUUCACAAUAAAAUCAUUAUUAGAGGACAUUCAUUCAAGCAGGAACACUUGUUUGAUUUGUGAGAGGCCAAGGCUGACUAGGCCCAAUGACUAAUAUGCCCCGUCACCAGUACAAAAUAGUCUUCCAGGCAAUAUGUUUGGGAAACUGGACUUUUUCUGCUCAUGCUCUUUCUGAUCAGACUUGUCUUUUUCUGGCAGCUUUUGCCAGCAAUCAGAUUCACUGGAAACAUAAAAGAGAAAAUGAUUGCUGGAGCUAUGCUGAACAAGCGGAGCGUUAUCUUUCUUCUUGCUCUGUUUGCCCAUGUGCACAAUGAAAGGAAGCUGGCAGAGGUCCUGAUCCAGGAAAAGGAUUAUGGCCUUUAUCAUCAGACAAUAAGUUGAGCAAAUUGCAGACCACAAACUACUUCUCUUCGGCAUACUGCUGAAGGACUCAUGGCUGAACUCGGUGCCUUAGAGGUACUAGGAGGAAGUACAGGGAGGUCGUAAAGAUGAGUAGCCAGAAAAUGAGGGAUGCUUAUGAAAGGUCUGCUGUUGAGCAGUGGGCAGAGGACAAUAUAGAAAAAAUCUAAAAUUCUAAAGCUUUAAUGUCUUUAUUAUUUUAAUUAGCUUCAAAAUGUGUAAUAAUCCAUCAUACUGUUACUCCAAAGUCUUUGUUGUUCACCUAAUAAUCUUCCAAAGGGGAGUAUUUGACACACAUGUGACUAAAGAUUGAGAUAUGUGGAUUUUCAAAUACAUACAGUGCAGCCAGUAACUAAGAACAGGACUAUUUGUUUAAUAGUGGCUCCAUUCAUUAUAAAUAAAUGAAAGAGGAUUUUAAAAGCAGGGAGUUAGAAAUAAAGACUUCCACAGCCAGGGAAAUAAAAUCUUUCUGCUCUUAGUCAUCUUUGUUAUCAACCCUACCUUAAAACUGCUUCAAGGGGUACAGAAGAGAGGUUUUAGUGUUAUACCCUGUAAAAUUAAAGAUUGUAAAGCAGAACACUGACAUGGUGACUGAACCCCUUUGAGCUUUUGAGCUGGUCUUUGGAACUUUGGAAGGAGUCCAGAUUUUUGCUAACUCUUUGUUUCCAAUCCAAAAUAAUCUGGAAAUAAUAGCUGUAACAGGAAUGAUAAUAAUGUAUACCUGUAAUAAGGAUCCAAACUGGCUGAAAUAUGUCAGUUUAGUCUCUGGUACUAGUGGUAUGAACUUUGCUUUAACGUGAUUAUUUCAUAUGAUUUUUUUUUUUUUCAAAUGCAAAAUGGUUUGAGGGCUGUUUAAAGUAUUUUUUUUCCAGUGUAAAUCAGCAGACACACACAACAAAAGGACUGAAAGAGACUGAGCAGAAAUCUAACCCUCCAAAAAUCUUUAUGGGUAAACUGUUUCCCUAAUAAUCCCUCAUUAUAUAAACACCUAAAUAAGAUAUCUAGAGAAAAUUGUCUGAAAUUCUGACAGACUCAGUACCUUUGAAGAUUCUGCAAAGCUGGUCUACUAACAAUGGUUAACUGAUUGAAUGAGGCAACAGGGAAUUAUGAAGACUGCUUAUUUUUCUGAAUCCAGAGGUUUUAUUCUUUUCCCUACCCCUAGCUUCAGAAUCACUUUUUCCAUACAAAUUGGCAUGGUGUGGUCGACUUUCCCUCUGAUAUUCCAAAUUCCUGAUACUCUCUGUGUGGGGAACUGCCGCUCAUGCCAAAGGGAUGCUUGGCUUGUUGUGCUCUCUUGAUAGAUACUUCAGCAAUGCUGUUAGAUUAAAUAGCAAGGGACAGCAGAAUUUUAGUCACGAUCCAUCAGGCGGAUCUGAGAGGAGCCGUUUGCCCUGAGAGAGGAUAGACUUUCGAGACAUAUGGUCCUAUAAUGGGGGGGGGGUGGGGAUUUUUCAAUUCCAAUCCACCCAUUCCGGAUGAGAGAGACUGAGCUAAUACCCUCGUGUAUGGUGCAGUGCAUGUAGCUACGGAAGUAGCGUUAGGAUGGAAUUUAUGGACUCUCUAAAUUGUUUGCCAGGAAAUGUUUACUAGCUAUGCACAAUAAACGACUGUGAAAGCGUA